UCGGAUGUGGUGUAUGGCACACAGCCAGCUUGCUUUGCUAAGUAUAUGUACAUUGUAGACAUCAAUGCUGGCAGUCCGGGGUUCGACUCCCCGCGUCCGAA